AAAGUUAUUUGCAUUUCAAUAAAAAAUAUAAUGAAAAUACAUUGAUAUAGAUAGUUGCUUUGAUUUGAUACAGUUGUUGGACAAUUGGUAGUAUUAUCUGCCCUGUGCUAUCCUGUUGCCACCUUUUCCAAAUUACAGUGUAUUGAAAGAGCCACAGAUUUUUACAAAGUUAUUACUGACACCACAACAUGUUUAUCCAGCUUUGAAAAAAGCCUAUCUUUAAGAAAUAUCACAGAAUGUUCCAAAGACUGUGUUGUAAAAGAAACAUCGAGGGAGGAUAACUAUAUGAGAAUACACAUCAAAUACGACACUGAUAUCAUUUUAAAGCUAGAAAGCAAGAAAAAUCCUGACUGCGGAUACAGUUCUAAAAACAUGUAUAUCGAAUGCACCAUAAAUAAAAGAAAACAGGAAUGGUUAGAAACAUGUAUAACUGGUAAAUGUAUCAACAGUCUGAACAAAAGAACCAUUAAUUCAAAGCAAGUAAAUGAUGCCGAUCGUCCCUUAUCAGACCCACUCUUCUUUUCUGCUGUGAUUUCAGGAUCUAUUAUUCUCAGUGCCGUCAUUACAGGAAUGGGGUGCUUACUGUUCAUGACAAGAAAAAGAAAGACAUGUAUCUCUAAAUAAUGUUCUCCAAUAUUAUGCAUUAUAUGAUGAUCAUGGAUCAAUCAACCAUCUUUGAUUCAAAUUCAAUCAAAGUCCAGUGUGUAGCAUUGAGCAUGUGGCCUAUAUUGUAUCUUGGGAGAGUUUUUCUACAAAGGUUAAAUAAAUGCGAUUCUCUUUUGAGAUAGAAUUUUUUAGUAUGAAAGGACGGCAUUUUUUUUAUUUUUUUCAGCUGUAUUAGUCAAAGUAUCUUAACAACAUUCUUGACAUUUUCUUUCCUAGAAAUACUGUAUUUUCAAUACAUUAUCUUGGUAUUUUUUUUACAAAUAGUUUUUUUUUUAGUUUUCUAAAAAUACAAUUUCUUGAAAUCUUAUACAACUUUUUAAAAUCGCUUUGUCUUGAAUUGUAAAUCAUCAUAAGAGUUAAAUGUAAAUACUUCAAGUCAUUAAGAAUGCGGAUACAGUCACUUCGAUGUAUUACAAUCUAUAUUUUUAUACACAAUGGAAGUCAUGUGACAAGUUAUAAUUAUUAGGUAUUUAAUUUAAUAUGUUAUCAACUAUGGCAUCUAUCCAAUUUUCUAUUUUCUUUCGUAUAUUAGCAAACCGGUUGGGGAAUAAAACUAGUUAAGAAAUACGUUGACAAAAGUUGGACUAUCACUUUUGAUUUUCAGAUAUACAUUAAGAACUAUAAAUAUUUAAUAUUUGAUACUAUUUUUUAAAACUGUACGUACGUUGUGUAUAUAAAAAACUUCAUUCAGUGUCAUUUUUCUAAUACGCGACCAUUGUCGCUUCUAAUAAGUGUUGAGUAUAAUGAAUUGAAAAUCAAGGGGAUCGGAAUUUUCUGAAAAAAAAGAAUUUAUCAAAUGUCGAAAUUAUAUUUGUAUUUUUAGCAUGAAUUGUUAUUAAUGUCUUUAAAACUUCCGAAACUCAGUGGCAGCAAUUGUUUAACCACAAACCAUGGCUAGAAGGCAGCAUUAACCAAAACAGUGUUUAUAAAACGAAAAUUGAGAAAUAAUUUUUAUCUUAAAAUUACACCUCCCUCCCAUAUCAACAAUGUUUAUUAUGGGAGUCAUGGACGUUUUGUUUUGAUACUUUUAUUUGUCUAGUUUGUUUUUUCUUGCCAUUUUUAUUAUUAUUGUUCUCAUUAAAGUAUUUGUCUUUUGAUAAGUCUAUUCAAAUCCAUUGUCAUGAGUCUUUGAUGAAGUAUAGCUCAUUUGAACUAUUUUAUUUGGCGUAGUCUAAC